rnacentral:rRNA from 1 species
CCUACGGGUGGCAGCAGUGAGGAAUAUUGGUCAAUGGGCGUAAGCCUGAACCAGCCAAGUCGCGUGAGGGAUGAAGGCUCUAUGGUUCGUAAACCUCUUUUAUAAGGGAAUAAAGUGCGUGACGCGUACCGCUUCGCAUGUACCUUAUGAAUAAGGAUCGGCUAACUCCGUGCCAGCAGCCGCGGUAAUACGGAGGAUCCGAGCGUUGUCCGGAUUUAUUGGGUUUAAAGGGUGCGUAGGCGGCCUGUUAAGUCAGCUGUGAAAGUGUGUGGCUCAACCAGAGAAUUGCAGUUGAAACUGGGGGGCUUGAGUAUGUUUGAGGCAGGCGGAAUGCGUGGUGUAGCGGUGAAAUGCAUAGAUAUGACGAAGAACGCCGAGUGCGAAGGCAGCCUGCUAAGCCAGGACUGACGCUGAUGCACGAAAGCGUGGGGAUCGAACAGGAUUAGAUACCCGAGUAGUC